rnacentral:rRNA from 1 species
GUCCACGCUGUAAACGAUGGGUACUAGGUGUUCGGGGUAUUGACCCCCUGAGUGCCGCAGCUAACGCAUUAAGUACCCCGCCUGGGGAAUACGGCCGCAAGGUUAAAACUCAAAGGAAUUGACGGGGCCCGCACAAGCGGUGGAGCAUGUGGUUCAAUUCGACGCAACGCGAAGAACCUUACCUGGGCUAGACAACAUCGGACAGCCCCAGAAAUGGGGUCUUCCCGCAAGGGACCGGUGGUUCAGGUGCUGCAUGGCUGUCGU